AUGCCAUCUGUUGCAGCGGCCGCCGGAGGAGAUGCUCUUAUAGGAUCGCGGUUCUCAACAGGAAAAUGCCCUCCAUCCUUGCUCUCUCUCGCCAGAAACUCCCACAGGUGGAAGGAACUUCGGUUGAAGGCGUUGCAAAGGGAGGCUACGCCAUUUCUGACAAUUCACAAACCUGACCUCAUCCUAAUCAGCACAGGCUCCGAGCUCGAGAUCGCAGCAAAAGCAGCCCAUCAGCUGAGGAAGGAGGGGAAAUCUGUACAGGUUGUCUCGCUUGUUUGCUGGGAAUUGUUUGAGGAGCAGUCUGAGGAGUACAAGGAGAGUGUCCUACCAAGCGAGGUUACUUUCAGGAUUAGCGUCGAAGCCGGCGUCACACUAGGAUGGGAGAAGUAUAUAGGACAGAAGGGCAAAGUAAUCGGCAUUAACCGUUUCGGUUCAAGUGCUCCUGCUGGAAGAAUAUACAGGGAGUUUGGUUUGACGGUGGAGAAUCUCAUGGCAACAGCCAAAUCACUGUAA
rnacentral:rRNA from 1 species